CCUACGGGAGGCAGCAGUGGGGAAUUUUGGACAAUGGGCGAAAGCCUGAUCCAGCAAUGCCGCGUGAGUGAAGAAGGCCUUCGGGUUGUAAAGCUCUUUUGUCAGGGAAGAAACGGUGAGAGCUAAUAUCUCUUGCUAAUGACGGUACCUGAAGAAUAAGCACCGGCUAACUACGUGCCAGCAGCCGCGGUAAUACGUAGGGUGCAAGCGUUAAUCGGAAUUACUGGGCGUAAAGCGUGCGCAGGCGGUUUUGUAAGUCUGAUGUGAAAUCCCCGGGCUCAACCUGGGAAUUGCAUUGGAGACUGCAAGGCUAGAAUCUGGCAGAGGGGGGUAGAAUUCCACGUGUAGCAGUGAAAUGCGUAGAUAUGUGGAGGAACACCGAUGGCGAAGGCAGCCCCCUGGGUCAAGAUUGACGCUCAUGCACGAAAGCGUGGGGAGCAAACAGGAUUAGAUACCCUGGUAGUCCACGCCCUAAACGAUGUCUACUAGUUGUCGGGUCUUAAUUGACUUGGUAACGCAGCUAACGCGUGAAGUAGACCGCCUGGGGAGUACGGUCGCGAAGAUUAAAACGUCAAAAGUAGUAAGUAGGACGNGAGAGACGACGACGACGGACGACGACGGAGGGAGGAGG
rnacentral:rRNA from 1 species